AUUGAACGCUGGCGGCAUGCUUUACACAUGCAAGUCGAACGGCAGCGGGGUAGUGCUUGCACUACUGUCCGGCGAGUGGCGAACGGGUGAGUAAUAUAUCGGAACGUACCGAGCAAUGGGGGAUAACCAAUCGAAAGAUUGGCUAAUACCGCAUACGUCCUGAGGGAGAAAGCGGGGGAUCGCAAGACCUCGCGUUAUUCGAGCGGCCGAUAACUGAUUAGCUAGUUGGUGGGGUAAAGGCCUACCAAGGCGACGAUCAGUAGCGGGUCUGAGAGGACGAUCCGCCACACUGGGACUGAGACACGGCCCAGACUCCUACGGGAGGCAGCAGUGGGGAAUUUUGGACAAUGGGGGCAACCCUGAUCCAGCCAUGCCGCGUGUAUGAAGAAGGCCUUCGGGUUGUAAAGUACUUUUGUUAGGGAAGAAAAGGGAAGUGCUAAUACCACUUUUUGCUGACGGUACCUAAAGAAUAAGCACCGGCUAACUACGUGCCAGCAGCCGCGGUAAUACGUAGGGUGCGAGCGUUAAUCGGAAUUACUGGGCGUAAAGCGAGCGCAGACGGUUAUUUAAGCAGGAUGUGAAAUCCCCGGGCUUAACCUGGGAACUGCGUUCUGAACUGGAUAGCUAGAGUGUGUCAGAGGGGGGUAGAAUUCCACGUGUAGCAGUGAAAUGCGUAGAGAUGUGGAGGAAUACCGAUGGCGAAGGCAGCCCCCUGGGAUAACACUGACGUUCAUGCUCGAAAGCGUGGGUAGCAAACAGG
rnacentral:rRNA from 1 species